GAUGAACGCUGGCGGCGUGCCUAAUACAUGCAAGUCGAGCGAACAGACGAGGAGCUUGCUCCUCUGACGUUAGCGGCGGACGGGUGAGUAACACGUGGAUAACCUACCUAUAAGACUGGGAUAACUUCGGGAAACCGGAGCUAAUACCGGAUAAUAUAUUGAACCUCAUGGUUCAAUAGUGAAAGACGGUUUUGCUGUCACUUAUAGAUGGAUCCGCGCCGCAUUAGCUGGUUGGUAAGGUAACGGCUUACCAAGGCAACGAUGCGUAGCCGACCUGAGAGGGGGGUCGGCGGCAAUAGAACUGAGACGCGGUCCAGACGCCUACGAGAGGAAGCAGUAGGGAAGAUUACGGAAUGGGCGGAAGCAGGACGGAGCAACGACGCGUGGGUGAUGAAGGUCGUCGGAUCGUAAAACUCUGCUAUUAGGGAAGAACAAAUGUGUAAGUAACUGUGCACGUGUUGACGGUACCUAAUCAGAAAGCCACGGCUAACUACGUG
rnacentral:rRNA from 1 species